AAUUCAUCAGAAGGAUAGAUUCUUUAUUUGAUAUUCUCAAUUCCUGAAGUGUACGUGCUAGAAUUUUAAGGCACCUUUGAGAGAAAACAAUGAAGAAAUGUGGCGUCCAUUUCUCAUCGACACCAGUGAGUAUCUUCUGAAUUUGAAGGAUGUCACUGGCGGGCCUUUGUGGUGCACGCCCCGAAAAACGUCAAUUCUGGGCUUUGUUAUUUCCGCUACGUCGUUCAUGGGAAUUUUUGAUGAAUUUGUUAGUAGUAAGAGGUUGAAUGACUUGCUAACAUAAAUGUAGUCAAGAUCAUCUAGAAAUUUUCUUCUGCUCAGUGCGAUCGAGAAAUGGGUGAAACAAUAACCCUACUCCUCUACGAUUUUGUAAAACUUAGAAGAUUGCUUCUAUUUACAAACAUAACGAGGGAAGGAGGAAAUUGUAAAGUGCUUUGCACCACCUGUCUGCUCUCUGUUAGCAUUGGCCCAAAGCAAAAGAGCACAAAUGUUCAACAAUCAGUUGACGUGUUUGUCUUGAAAAAAUAUGAUCUCGAUAUUUUGACUGAAGCACUUGCAGAUCAUGACUAUGAACGUCUAAUUUUAUUGGGCUGAGUGAAGUGGCAGAAAACGUGGCAUAUAUUGGUAGCUAUGUUGUCAAAAUGCUGGUGAAGACGUUUAAGUGCGCAGACUGCAUUUCUUCUUGCAUUGAAACACGAGGAAGUGACUUACAGUUUUACAGAUUAUUGGACAAAAAAAACAUGGGUAAAAUAAAAUACUUACAAUAGUUAUUUUUUAAGUCUUAACAAAAUUUUGAUUUUAGGUGGGCUUAUUAAACCUUUUGCUGGGGUUGUGAAGACUUGUUGUUACUGUUAAUACGAAAAAUUUUGCAACUCACCAAUAAACUUCCAAGCGAUGAACAAUUUUUUAAAACUUUCGGCAUGCCAGCAUUCUUUUUCCUAAUUUAGAAGACCCACGCACUCGAGACGGUGGCCAUCGAUGAAGGCCAUUUAUAUAUUCUUAUUAAACAAAUAAUUAAUGCCUACAUGCGAAUAAGAAUGUUUAAUUUGAGCAAAAGACUUUCAUGUCUUGCUCAAGGCACUUCUGUUAGACAUGUGUACACAUAAUUAGUACUGUUUUCGCAUCAAUAAAUAUAUUGAAGUAUAA